rnacentral:rRNA from 1 species
GAUGAACGCUGGCGGCAUGCCUAAUACAUGCAAGUCGAGCGAAUGGAUUAAGAGCUUGCUCUUAUGAAGUUAGCGGCGGACGGGUGAGUAACACGUGGGUAACCCGCCCAUAAGACUGGGAUAACUCCGGGAAACCGGGGCUAAUACCGGAUAACAUUUUGAACCGCAUGGUUCGAAAUUGAAAGGCGGCUUCGGCUGUCACUUAUGGAUGGACCCGCGUCGCAUUAGCUAGUUGGGGAGGUAACGGCUCACCAAGGCAACGCUGCGUAGCCGACCUGAGAGGGUGAUCGGCCACACUGGGACUGAGACACGGCCCAGACUCCUACGGGAGGCAGCAGUAGGGAAUCUUCCGCAAUGGGCGAAAGUCUGACGGAGCAACGCCGCGUGAGUGAUGAAGGCUUUCGGGUCGUAAAACUCUGUUGUUAGGGAAGAACAAGUGCUAGUUGAAUAAGCUGACACCUUGACGGUACCUAACCAGAAAGCCACGGCUAACUACGUGCCAGCCGCCGCUGUAA